CACACACACUUGAGAAUGAAUAAUGAAAACCAAAGUACUAAAAUAGAAUUAUACUGGCAAUGUUAGUAAAUUAAAAUCUAACCUACUCUAAAAAUAUCUAUGGGUUUUGAAAGAAGAUGUUGAUAUUUAAAUUCAUAGCUAUUGGGACUACUAAUCAUUUAAAGGAGGACCAUCUAUUUGGGAAAUACAUCCCUUAGGACCAGAAACAACCUCAGGAUCAUCCCUUAGCCACCCUCUCCUGUUGCCUGUUCUUUGAUUCAAGACCCAAGGGCAGUUUCAUUCAUCUCCAUCCUCAACUGGAGUAGCAGCUGCCUUGUUCACCAUGUCACCUUUCCAGAGAGGACUGGGAUCUGGGAAGCAGACUCAUGAUGCACAGAUAUACAGGAUGCCUAUGGCUUUGAUGGGUGUGUGUCUUAUUUGAAGGUGGGAAUUACUACUCAACCAUGUCUGCUGGUGCAUUCUCUUUCCAAUAUGUUAAUCUACUUGUCACACUGACCUAAGAUCACAAAGUCAAGUGAAUACAGAAUCAGAGAACUCCCCAAGUUUCCUUCCAAGCUUUCUUCCUUUCUCUCCUGCUAGUUCGAUUUUAUCCAGUUAUCUCAAAUUGUUAAAAAAAAAAAAAGAAAGA